rnacentral:rRNA from 1 species
AUUGAACGCUGGCGGCAUGCCUUACACAUGCAAGUCGAACGGCAGCACGGGUGCUUGCACCUGGUGGCGAGUGGCGAACGGGUGAGUAAUACAUCGGAACGUACCUUAUCGUGGGGGAUAACGCAGCGAAAGCUGUGCUAAUACCGCAUACGCCCUGAGGGGGAAAGCGGGGGAUCGUAAGGCCUCGCGCGAUUAGAGCGGCCGAUGGCUGAUUAGCUAGUUGGUGAGGUAAAGGCCCACCAAGGCAACGAUCAGUAGCAGGUCUGAGAGGAUGAUCUGCCACACUGGAACUGAGAAACGGUCCAGACUCCUACGGGAGGCAGCAGUGGGGAAUUUUGGACAAUGGACGAAAGUCUGAUCCAGCAAUGCCGCGUGAGUGAAGGAGGCCUUCGGGUUGUAAAGCUCUUUUGUCAGUGAAGAAAACUUUAAUAAUAACACUAUUAAAGCAUGACGGUAACUGAAGAAUAAGGACCGGCUAACUACGUGCCAGCAGCCGCCGUAA